UUUCUCAGUAAAGGUUCAGGUGUUUGAAGCAGGGAUGUUUCACAGUAAAGGUUCAGGUGUUUGAAGCAGGGAUGUUUCACAGUAAAGGUACAUGUUGGAGCUCACUAACGGGGUUUCUCUCAGUAUUUCAGACUGUCAGCUUUUCUUCUGACAGGAAACAAACUGUUAGUGCUCACAUCUGUUUUAUUAAGAGUUAAAAUCAGUUUUAUCAGCAGAGAAGAGUUUCUGUUCCUCGCUCCUGUUUAAAUUCAUUAAGUGACAGAUUCUAAAGGUUUUAUUGGUAAAGUUUAUUUUUGUGCUCAUUUCAAAAGUUAAAACUUGUUUUCAUAGGAGCUGAAAAUCACAUCAGGCCUGGUGUUUUAAGGCCCUGCAGUUUGAACAGGUCCAUGUCAGCCUGUUUGCUGUGGAACGCUUUGGGUCAGCAGUGGGAAUCAAACCUUUACCUCAGCAGCAUCACUCGGUACUGYUCCACAUCUCUGUUUCUGCCUCACAGAGCUGAGUUCUCCUCAGAGAGAGAGGAUAAUGAUGGAAAUAAUAAUGACGGUCAGAUUAUUAGUAUUAAACUUGUUUUCUUUUGUUUACCUGCUCCAUGUAACACUUGUUGGACUCCAMCAGUUCACAUGUCUUUUAUGUUCAGAUAAAAAGGACAAACCAUAAAGACUUGUCUGGUCGUGACGACCUGUUUCCCUCCAGUUGUCUGUGUCCUCGGCCUCGGCCUGCGUUCAUGGAGUGAAACUGUUGUUCUACUCGUGCCUUUCUGUGUGUUCAGCCUGCAGAGGCUCCUGGUGCUCUCUGCAGGACUUCUCUUUGCUCGUCACCUUUCAUCCUCCUGUCUGUCCUUUCCUGCGUCUGAAGCUCUUCGUGCCUUUCUCUGUGUCUUCUCUCUCUUUGCUGGGACCGUGUGUUGAGGCCGGACACAACGUCUGACCCACCUGUGUGGUUAGUUUCAGGUACUACAUUGAAUUUAAUGAUAUAAUAUAAAUAUAGUGAAACAAUCA